CAAAUACUCCCUCCGUCCCAAAAUUCUUGUCGUAGAUUUGUUUGGAUAUGAAUGUAUCUAGUCAUGUUUUAGUAUUUUGAUACAUUCAUUUCUAGACAAAUCUAAGACANNNNNNUUGGGACGGAGGGAGUACUAA
rfam:Hordeum vulgare subsp. vulgare, WGS project CAJW01000000 data, contig: morex_contig_140112